rnacentral:sRNA from 2 species
UUGCAAAUCUGGCCUAGUCCCGGGGCGCCCGGGAGCGGAGGACCCAAUCAGUAGGGGUUAAUUCCACGGUUUUUGUGGAAGGGAUGAGAAACUCUUUCGCCAUCCUACCCGUCAGCUAACUUCGUCGGCUAAAGCGAGGGAGGUC